rnacentral:rRNA from 1 species
GACGAACGCUGGCGGCGUGCUUAACACAUGCAAGUCGAACGAAAAGAGGGGAAGAGCUUGCUCUUUCCGGAAUUGAGUGGCAAACGGGUGAGUAACACGUAAACAACCUGCCUUCAGGAUGGGGACAACAGACGGAAACGACUGCUAAUACCGAAUAAGUUCCAAGGACCGCAUGGCCCAUGGAAGAAAAGGUGGCCUCUACCUGUAAGCUAUCGCCUGAAGAGGGGUUUGCGUCUGAUUAGCUGGUUGGAGGGGUAACGGCCCACCAAGGCGACGAUCAGUAGCCGGUCUGAGAGGAUGAACGGCCACACUGGAACUGAGACACGGUCCAGACUCCUACGGGAGGCAGCAGUGGGGAAUCUUCCGCAAUGGGCGAAAAGCCUGACGGAGCAAACGCCGCGUGAGUGAUGACGGCCUUUCGGGUUGUAAAAACUUCUGUGAUUCC